ACCUGGCUGGCUCAGAUCCUAGAGCACGUGACUCUUAAUCUACGGGUCAUGGGUUCGAGCCCCAUGCUGGGGC
rnacentral:tRNA from 1 species